CGGCAACCAGGACGCCAGGCAACCAGACAGGUAACCAGGUCACCAGGCAACCAGACAGGUAACCAGGCAACCAGACAGGUAACCAGGUCACCAGGCAACCAGACAGGUAACCAGGCAACCAGACGGGUAACCAGGUCACCAGGCAACCAGUUAGGUAACCAGGCAACCAGACGGGUAACCAGGUCACCAGGCAACCAGACAGGUAACCAGGUCACCAGGCAAUCAGACAGGUAACCAGUUAACCAGACGGGUAACCAGGUCACCAGGCAACCAGACAGGUCACCAGGUAACCAGACAGGUAACCAGGUAACCAGACAGGUAACCCGACAACGAGGAAACCAG
ensembl:lncRNA